CACGGGGGGAGCAAGCGUUGUUCGGAAUCACUGGGCGUAAAGGGCGCGUAGGCGGCCCGCUAAGUCGAACGUGAAAUCCCCAGGCUCAACCUGGGAACUGCGUCCGAUACUGGCAGGCUUGAAUCCGGGAGAGGGAUGUGGAAUUCCAGGUGUAGCGGUGAAAUGCGUAGAUAUCUGGAGGAACACUAAGGGCGAAGGCAAGACUCUGGACAAGUGCUGACGCUCAUGCACGAAGGCUAGGGUAGCGAACGGG
rnacentral:rRNA from 1 species